CAUAAUAAAACAAUAAUCGUAUAAUUUUGGUAGCUUUUCAUAUUCUUAAACUUUUGGCUCUUUAUGAUUUAUUUCUGAUUAACUUUGUGAUAAUUUUGAUUGUUUUUGCGUUAUUGGUACAAUGAGUGGCCCUCCUUAGCCGUGCGGUAAGACGCGCGGCUAUAAAGCAAGACCAUGCUGAGGGUGGCUGGGUUCGAUUCCCGGUGCUGGUCUAGGUAAUUUUCGGAUUGGAAAUUGUCUCGACUUCCCUGGGCAUAAAAGUAUCAUCGUGUUAGCCUCAUGAUAUACGAAUGCAAAAAUGGUAACCUGGCUUAGAAACCUCGCAGUUUAAUAACUGUGGAAGUGCUUAAAGAACACUAAGCUGCGAGGCGGCUCUGUCCCAGUGUGGGGAUGUAAUGCCAAUAAGAAGAAGAAGAAGAAGAACAAUGAGUGGCCUGAUCAGCUUUCGCCGUAGGUUGCACUUCUGGUCGCACGAAGCGAAUGGAGAACGAAAGCCUUGGUCCUGGACGUUGCGCGUGAUUUGUGUAGGAAAAGAGCAUAUUUUUUUCAGCUCUCGAAUUAAGGAAAUGAUGGUCCCAAUCGAGGUUCCAAUCAUACCAGCAAAUACCAAAAGGCUGAGCACCUACCGGCGUAAAUUGAAACGCAACACAACAAUCUUGAUAUAAUUCGACCGCCUCGACUAAACAAUAUGUGAGAGAAAACUUAUGGCGAAUUGAGUCACAUAUAGGGAAUUAUUCCCAUAUAAUUUCCAAGAUGGCAGGACUUCGACACAUCUCAAUUACAGACAAGAAUCAAAAUGUGGCGGAGCAUCAUCACGGGCUGUGGAAAUACUUUUCUAUUAUGAGGAUGGAAGUAAACCACAGAAGAAGGAAUGAUGAAAUCCACAGCAGCAAAGCCGAUAUGAAAAUCAUCAGCUUCAUCCUAAGCUAACAGCAUAUUUAUGGAAUGUUCAAGAUAAAUUGAAAGAAACCUGUGA